UGGGGAAUAUUGCACAAUGGGCGCAAGCCUGAUGCAGCAACGCCGCGUGAAGGAAGAAGGCCUUUGGGUCGUAAACUUCUGUCCUAGGGGAAGAUAAUGACGGUACCCUUGGAGGAAGCCCCGGCUAACUACGUGCCAGCAGCCGCGGUAAUACGUAGGGGCAAGCGUUAUCCGGAAUUAUUGGGCGUAAAGAGUGCGUAGGUGGUUACCUAAGCAGGGGGUGAAAGGCAUUGGCUUAACCAAUGUUAGCCCCCUGAACUGGGCUACUUGAGUGCAGGAGAGGAAAGCGGAAUUCCUAGUGUAGCGGUGAAAUGCGUAGAUAUUAGGAGGAACACCAGUGGCGAAGGCGGCUUUCUGGACUGUUACUGACACUGAGGCACGAAAGUGUGGGGAGCAAACAGGAUUAGAUACCCUGGUAGU
rnacentral:rRNA from 1 species